AAAAUGAAGGUGCAACGCUAAAAACAAAAAAACAGCGUUUGAUGGAAUUGUGUGAUAAUGAGAAAACAAAGCAGAAAAUUUCACAUGAUCAAGUAAAAGAAUCACAAGUUAAUUAUCAAGUGGGACAACUAACUUCAAGCAAGAAACAAGUUGAAAGACUAAAACAGGAACUUAAAAGGUACAAAUCCGAACUUGAGAGAAGUCAGCAAACAUUGAUUACAGGAGACUUAUCAUUCAGUAGUACACCACAGAAGAAUUUUACUGCUCCUUUAUCACCAAAUCUCAAUCACAAUGGCAUAAGAAAUGGAAUAGGAAAGAUAUUAUGUAUGAAAUGAGCCAGAUUAUUAGCAAAUAUUCAUUGUCAAUUUGAAUAUUCUAAGUUUGAAAAACUCCAAGAAAAAUACAAUAAAGAAGUUGAAGAAAGAAAAAGGCUGGAGGCAGAACUGAGAAAUAUCCAGGUUAAAAAAAUAAAUCGUUCUCAUCCUCAAAGUACUAAGAGUCACAGAGAGAUUGCUCGGCAUCAGGCUUCUUCAUCAGUGUUCUCGUGGCAACAAGAAAAGACACCAAGCUGUCCUUCAUCCAGCAGUCAAGAAACCCCUUUAAAGAGGGGUUUUACUUCAUCCCAUUUUCCAUGGGAACAAGAAGCAACUCCUAGCCACCGUGGCUUAAGAUCAAAGAAGACAGAUUUCAGCAACAGUUUUUCUGACAAUUGUGGUAAUUCUUCUGUCAUCGAGCAGUUAAAAACACAGA